rnacentral:rRNA from 1 species
AUGGAUGACAACCGCUGUCUGAUAGUUAGUUGGAACGUACGUGGGCUCAAUAUGCCAGCCAAACGUGACGCUAUCUGUGAAGCUGUCGCGGCGCAUCGACCAGCGAUUCUUUGUCUCCAGGAGACGAAAAUCAACACCUGGUCACCAGCUCUAGUAAGGGAUAUAGGAGGUAGCAGGUUAGCCGACUGCAUAGUGUUGCCUGCGAUUGGUUCCGGAGGCGGGGUGGCCAUUCUUCGGGACAGUGAGAUCGUCUCGAUCGUGUCCCAGGCAGUAGGAGAAUUCGCCAUCACUACCAAAGUAACGGUCAACCAAUCGGCCACUGCUUUUUGGCUAACUGUGGUCUAUGGACCGGCAGAGGACGCUCGGAAGGAUGUGUUCCUUCUGGAGCUGGCAAGAUCUUCCCCCCUCCUGGUGAGCCUUGGCUCCUCACCGGUGAUUUCAACGUUAUAUACGAAGCUAGAGAUAAGAACAACUUCAACCUUAAUCGGCGCAUCAUGGGAAAGUUUAGGGCGGCACUAG